UACGUAGGGGGCAAGCGUUGUCCGGAUUUAUUGGGCGUAAAGAGCGUGUAGGCGCCAGGGAGGUCCGUUGUGAAAACUCGAGGCUCAACCUCGAGACGCCGAUGGAAACCCCCUGGCUAGAGUCCGGAAGAGGAGAGUGGAAUUCCUGGUGUAGCGGUGAAAUGCGUAGAUAUCGGAAGGAACACCUGUGGCGAAAGCGGCUCAC
rnacentral:rRNA from 1 species